UCCUUGUUCCUAUUUUCCUACAUGCUCAGUCCAUAGAGCUUGGGUGAGGCUGAACCAUCUUCCGAUACAAGGGUGAUCACAUGACCUAGCACCUGCCAAAGGAGUCCAGCCCCUGGCCUCAUUGAUUGGUUCCAGGAUAGGCAGGUGACCAAGGUUUGGUCAAUUAGAACAUGUCAGCUCUUUAACUACACUGAUUGGCUUUGGGAUGGGCACAUGACCAAGUUGGUCCAAUCGGAGCCAACCCAGGGACAUUUCCCUGGAGCGGCUGGAAAAGAGGAGUCUCUUGAAAUUCAGCAACUGCUAACAGCGAGGAGGGGUUUUGAAAGGUAAAGGCCAUUAGCUUGGAGGCAGAAGACAGACCUCCCUGACUGCUGAAUUCUUGCCGGCCUGAAAUUGGAGCAUUCCAAGCUCCUCAGAUGAGUCAUAAGCCACCAAGAUUGUGAGCCUCUGGGUGCUAGCCAGGAUCACUCCCUCCAAAGUCACACCAGAGGGAGGGCCAGAGGGAGAAUCAAAUGAAAGAGAGAGGGAGAGAAAGGAAGGAAGAGAAGAAGGGAGAAUGGAAGGAUGUAUGGAUUUGGAUGUAUGGGUUCCAUUCCUUCUACCCUGGCAAAAGCUUACUCAUCCUUCAGUGUCCAUCCAAAAUGGCACCUCUUCUUGGGCACCAUCUCCAGAGUCUCCUUCAAGCAGGUAGCUACAUCCCACAAAACAACCACCCAUCUGACCAUGCAAGUGUGUGGAGGAAUGAAGACCAGCCCAGGAAUCUGAGAUGAAUGUUUUGCUUCUUGCUCUGCCACUGACUCACAGGGUACCCCAAGCAAGUCCCUUCACCUCCUCGGUCUCAGUUUCUCCAUUUAUACUACUAAGGCAGUGGACCUGAUGGCCUCAAGUCUCAACAUUUUUAUUCCCUGAAAAGAAACUCUUGGUGCUGAGUGGUCUUCUUCUGCCCUGACAUCUCACCUUUCAAAUGCUUGUCUCUUCUCACCCCACCCAUCACUUAGCAUGUGCUCUUGGAGAACACCCAGGACUCAGGGUCUCUGCACACAUCAUGAGUCCAGCUCAGCAUUUGAGGUGGAAUCAGAGGAAAGGAAGGAGAGUGGGGAGAAUAGUCAGUAUUUUGGCAAGCUCAUCAUACCUUCCCCCUUUGUAUAGAAACUUCAAACCAAUUUCCCUUUGAAGGCACUACCUCCUUCCCCCAGUUAUAAAUGAGUGAAGGUCUCAAGCCUGGACAAGCAAAUGCACAGUGAUUGGUUCAACUCUGGACCUGUGACUCAAGCCAGACCAAGGGAGUGACAUGCAGGGCUUUGCCUGGAACUAUUCUGAAAGGGGCACUCUCUUUCUGCUGAGCUACUGAUAAUAUGUGCAUCCAUGAUAGAAGAGCCUGCCUGAUAAUAAAGCCAAUAAGGGAAGAGCAGAGCCAAGAGAUGGUGGGAGAGCAGAUGCCUGAAAAUAUCAUUUGAGCCCCUGGGUCCAGCUGCACCUGAAGCCACCACGAUCUCCUGGACUUUGCAGUUACUUGAGUUCAUAAAUACCCUUUGGCAUUAAGCCAGAUUGAGUCUUAAUGCAUAUAGAAAUAAGAGAAAUGAGAAAAGAAAUUGAAAAGAGAGACAGCAGAGAACUGAUUCUCUACUAGAGCCUCCAGAAGGAAUCAACUCUGCCAACACCUUGAUUUUGGACUUGUGGCCUUCAGAACAGUGAAAUGAUAAACAUCUGUUAUUUUAAGGUACCUAGUGUGUAACAUUUCAUCAUGAUAGCCCUAGGAAAUGAAUACAGGGAGGAAAAUCCUACCAGCACAAAGGCAUGGAGGUGCCAGGAUGCCUCCUCUGCCUGAAGAGUAGAUGUAGAUGAGACUGGAAUUGUCUAUCCUAGCUGCCCAGACCCAUGUGCCUUUGUUUUAUGUAGUUACAGCACCUAUGAUACAUAUUUGCUACCACGUACGUCACUAUGAACCUCCUCUGGAGGACAGAGAAGUCAAAUACCUUAAUUAUUCCAACACAAGCUUGUGUGAACAGAUAAUCAUCACUACGAGUAUAUUGUGUGCCUGCUAAGCACCACGCCUGAGAUAAGCAUUUGCUGUGGUUUGAAUGUCCCCUCCAAAGCUCAUGCUAAAAUUUAAUUGCCAUUGCAACAGUGUUGCAAGGUGAGAACUUUAAGAGAUGAUCAGGUCAUGAGAACUCUGCCCCCGUGAAUGGAUUAACACCCUUAUCGCAGUAGUGGACCCCCCUUUUCUCUUGCUGUCUCUCUCUCAUGUUAGCUUGUGCUUCCUCCUUUCACCAUGGGAUAACACAGCAAGAAGCCCCUCACCAGAUGCUGGCACCUUGCUAUUGGACUUCCGGCCUCCAGAACUGAGAAAUACAUGUCUUUUCCUUAUAAAUUACCCAGUCUGUGGUAUUCUGUUAUAGCGGCAGAAAAUGGACUAAGAUGGCAUUUUGCAUACAUUAUCUGUCUUAUUAAAAAUAAUGUUUCUACCCAGGAACAUAGAUUCAAGUUGCCCUGAAUAUACAUUAUCUCCCUACAUUAUCUCUUUUAAUCCUCACCUAUUAGGUAGAUAAACUGCUAUUAUCCCCAUUUUGCAGGUGAAACCUCAAGCUCCCAAAGAACUGCAGCAUCGAGGAAAGUAAAACCAAUAGCUAGCAUGUUCAGUAGUCCCCUUUACCCAUGGUACAGUACAGUAUGCUAAGAUAUUCUGAGAAAGAGAGAGGCCGCAUUCACAUAUCUUUUAUCGCAGUAUAUUGUUACAAUUGUUGUAUUUUAUUCGUUAUUGUUGUUAGUCUCUUAUUGUGCCUAAUUUAUAAAUUAAGCUUUACCACAGGCAUGUGUGUAUAGGAAAAAACAGUACGGAUGUUCCUCAACUCACAAUAGGGUUAUGUCCUGAUAAACCCUUCGUUCAGUUGAAAAGAUCUUUAAGUUGAAAAUGCAUUUAAUACCUCUAACCUACCAAACAUCAGAGCUUAGCCUAGCAUACCUUAAACAUCCUCAAAACACUUACACUAGCCUACAGUUGAAAAAAAAUCGUCUAACACAAAACCUAUUUUCUAACAAAGCAUUGCAUAUCUCAUCUCUUAAUUUUAAUUUUUUUUUUUUCUGAGUAACAGGCUGCUCUGUUACUCAGGCUGGAGUGCAGUGGCAUGAUCAUAGCUCACUGCAACCCUGAACUCCUGGGCUCAGGCCAUCCUCCCACCUCAGCCUCCCGAGUAGCUAGGAUACAAGUGCGUGCCACCACACCUGGCUAAUCUUUUAAUUUUUAUUUUUGUAGAGACGAGGUACUGUUUCCCAGGGUGGUCUUGAACUCCUGGCCUCAAGUGAUCCUCCCACCUUGGCCUCCCAAAGUGCUGGGAUUACAGGCGUGAACCACUGUGCCCAGCUUCUUCUUAUAUAUUGAAUACUGUACUUAAAGUAAAAAAUUGAAUGGUUGUAUGGGUACUGUAAGUAUGUUUUCUGCUGAAUGCAUAUCACUCUCACACCGUUGUAAAGUCAGAAAAUUAUAAGUCUAACCAUCAUAUGUUGGGGACCAUCUGUGUAUUACUAUCCAUGGUUUUAAGCAUCCACUAAAAGUCUUGAAAUGUAUCCCCCUCAGGUCAGGGGGCACUGCUGUAAUAAUAAAAACAGCUUGCACUUCCACAAGAUUCGGACGUGCCAGAUA